GAUGAACGCUGACAGAAUGCUUAACACAUGCAAGUCAACUUGAAUUUGGGUUUUUAACUUAGAUUUGGGUGGCGGACGGGUGAGUAACGCGUAAAGAACUUGCCUCACAGCUAGGGACAACAUUUAGAAAUGAAUGCUAAUACCUGAUAUUAUGAUUUUAAGGCAUCUUAGAAUUAUGAAAGCUAUAAGCACUGUGAGAGAGCUUUGCGUCCCAUUAGCUAGUUGGAGAGGUAACAGUUCACCAAGGCGAUGAUGGGUAGCCGGCCUGAGAGGGUGAACGGCCACAAGGGGACUGAGACACGGCCCUUACUCCUACGGGAGGCAGCAGUGGGGAAUAUUGGACAAUGGACCGAGAGUCUGAUCCAGCAAUUCUGUGUGCACGAUGAAGUUUUUCGGAAUGUAAAGUGCUUUCAGUUGGGAAGAAAGAAAUGACGGUACCAACAGAAGAAGUGACGGCUAAAUACGUGCCAGCAGCCGCGGUAAUACGUAUGUCACAAGCGUUAUCCGGAUUUAUUGGGCGUAAAGCGCGUCUAGGUGGUUAUGUAAGUCUGAUGUGAAAAUGCAGGGCUCAACUCUGUAUUGCGUUGGAAACUGUAUAACUAGAGUACUGGAGAGGUAAGCGGAACUACAAGUGUAGAGGUGAAAUUCGUAGAUAUUUGUAGGAAUGCCGAUGGGGAAGCCAGCUUACUGGACAGAUACUGACGCUAAAGCGCGAAAGCGUGGGUAGCAAACAGG
rnacentral:rRNA from 1 species